CCAAUGUAUAAGCAAUGGACUGUUUUAUUCUUGGUGCUUUCAAGACCUGAUGCUUUGUUUUGAACAGGUUGAUACAUCUAGGAGUGAAAUACAUCACCGCUUUCCCUGCUCCCGCCGCCAUUAAAAUUGUGUUUGGCAUCUGACCACCAAGAUACAGAUAUUUCCUAGACUGUUUUGCAGCUAGGUACUUAGCAUUUCUCUUUCCUCUGGAGAAAAAUAUCUGCUUUCUUUAAAAUAAAUGUUCCAUCCAUGCAGCUAAGCAGCUAAGGACACGAACAGCCACUGAUACAGGCCAACUCAUCAGUAGAUUAUUGAGAUUUCAUACUAGGACCUUUCAUUGGCUGAACAAAGACAAAGACAGAAAUCAAGGAAGGUCAAAGAAGCAGUCAGUUUUCUGGCACCCAAAGUUGUUGGAGAAGGGUACAGAGUCGGUAAAUAAGUCAUAUGACAGACAGGCAGUAUUUUCUUAUUUUAAUAACAAGUUUAAAAAUCCCACUUCUUGUACUUACCUUCUGUCUGACGUCAUCAGUAUUUUAAAAUGCCAACUGGGAUCAAGUUCAACACUGCAUUACUGAAGAAUCCAGAUUAUCUACAUUUCAAGUGCCAAAUGAAAGAAAGAACCCAGAAAAUAAAACAAUAUGAUGAUAACAGUAAAAUUUUUUAAAAUGAAAUUUAUGGUCUAAAUCCUGAUCAUUAAUGGUUAUUUCAUAUUGAAGCAAUGAG
rnacentral:lncRNA from 1 species